rfam:Ancylostoma duodenale strain Zhejiang A_duodenale-1.0_Cont23745.2, whole genome shotgun sequence.
GCCUCUAUAGCUCAGUGGCAGAGCGUCUGUCUCGUAAACAGAAGGUCUGCGGUUCAAUGACCGCAUGGAGGCA